rnacentral:rRNA from 1 species
CUUAGAGUUUGAUCCUGGCUCAGGAUCUACGCUGGCGGUAUGCUUAACACAUGCAAGUCGAACGGUGUCUUCGGACAUAGUGGCGGACGGGUGAGUAACGCGUGAGAAUCUAGCUUCAGGUCUGGGACAACCACUGGAAACGGUGGCUAAUACCGGAUGUGCCGGAAGGUGAAAGGCUUGCUGCCUGAAGAUGAGCUCGCGUCCGAUUAGCUAGUAGGUGGGGUAAGAGCCUACCUAGGCGACGAUCGGUAGCUGGUCUGAGAGGAUGACCAGCCACACUGGGACUGAGACACGGCCCAGACUCCUACGGGAGGCAGCAGUGGGGAAUUUUCCGCAAUGGGCGAAAGCCUGACGGAGCAAUACCGCGUGAGGGAGGAAGGCUCUUGGGUUGUAAACCUCUUUUCUCAGGGAAGAACACAAUGACGGUACCUGAGGAAUCAGCAUCGGCUAACUCCGUGCCAGCAGCCGCGGUAAUACGGAGGAUGCAAGCGUUAUCCGGAAUGAUUGGGCGUAAAGCGUCCGCAGGUGGCUGUGUAAGUCUGCUGUCAAAGAGCAAAGCUCAACUUUGUAAAGGCAGUGGAAACUACACGGCUAGAGUGCGUUCGGGGCAGAGGGAAUUCCUGGUGUAGCGGUGAAAUGCGUAGAGAUCAGGAAGAACACCGGUGGCGAAGGCGCUCUGCUAGGCCGCAACUGACACUGAGGGACGAAAGCUAGGGGAGCGAAUGGGAUUAGAGACCCCAGUAGUCCUAGCUGUAAACGAUG